CUCCUACGGGACGCAGCAGUGGGGAAUAUUGCACAAUGGGGGAAACCCUGAUGCAGCAACGCCGCGUGAGUGAAGAAGUCAUUCGUGAUGUAAAGCUCUAUCAGCAGGGAAGAAAAUGACGGUACCUGACUAAGAAGCCCCGGCUAACUACGUGCCAGCAGCCGCGGUAAUACGUAGGGGGCAAGCGUUAUCCGGAUUUACUGGGUGUAAAGGGAGCGUAGGCGGCUGUGUAAGCCAGAAGUGAAAGCCCGGGGCUCAACUCCGGGACUGCUUUUGGAACUACAUG
rnacentral:rRNA from 1 species